rnacentral:rRNA from 1 species
GUGGGGAAUAUUGCACAAUGGGCGGAAGCCUGAUGCAGCAACGCCGCGUGCGGGAUGACGGCCUUCGGGUUGUAAACCGCUUUCAGCAGGGACGAAGCGCAAGUGACGGUACCUGCAGAAGAAGCACCGGCUAACUACGUGCCAGCAGCCGCGGUGAUACGUAGGGUGCGAGCGUUGUCCGGAUUUAUUGGGCGUAAAGAGCUUGUAGGCGGUUGGUUGCGUCGAAAGUGCAAACUCAGGGCUUAACUCUGAGCCUGCUUUCGAUACGGGCUGACCGGAGGAAGGUAGGGGAGAAUGGAAUUCCCGGUGGAGCGGUGGAAUGCGCAGAUAUCGGGAGGAACACCAGUGGCGAAGGCGGUUCUCUGGACCUUUCCUGACGCUGAGAAGCGAAAGCGUGGGGAGCAAACAGGCUUAGAUACCCGAGUAGUCC